CAGACGAGCUAACCAUGUGCAGGGUGAAAGUCCGGUGACACGGACGGGAGGCCCGAACUCACGUUUAUUGCAAAAAACGGGGAUGACAUGUGGUUAGGGGUGAAAUGCCAAACGAGUUUGGAGAUAGCUUGUUCUCUCCGAAAUAACUUUAGGUUAGCGUGUGGUGAUGACGACCGGAGGUAGAGCACUGAAUGGGCUAGGGGGCUGUGAGCUUACCGAACCCAAUCAAACUGCGAAUGCCGGUCGGUGAGCCAUGCAGUCGGACGACUGGAGAUGAGUUCAGCCGUCGAGAGGGGAAACAACCCAGACCGCCAGCUAAGGUCCCUAAAAUUGGCUAAGUGGGAAACGAAGUGGGAAGGCUAAAACAGUCAGGAUGUUGGCUUAGAAGCAGCCAUCAUUUAAGAAAGCGUAAUAGCUCACUGAUCGAGUCGUCCUGCGCGGAAGAGUGUAACGGGGC
rnacentral:rRNA from 1 species